ACUCAAAUGAAUAGACGGGGAGGCACACAACCAGUGGAACAUGUGGUUCAAUUCGAUACGAACCGAAGAACCUCACCAGGGCUUGAAAUACAAGUGAAAUCUUGAUGAAAGUCGAGACCUCCGCAAGGACAGUUGUACAGGUGCUGCAUGGCUGUCGUCAGUUCGUUCCGUGAGGAGUGCCCUUAAGUGGGACAACGAACGCAACCCCCAUCUUGUGUUAUAUUUGUCACAAGAGACUGCCCUGACUUUGUCGGGGAGGAAGGAGGGGCAGACGUCAAGUCAGCAUGGUCCUUAUGCCCUGGGCUACACACAUGUUACAAUGGGUAUGACAAUGAGCUCUGCAAGCCUGCAAAGGCAAGCCAAUCUCAUAAACAUACUCUCAGUGGGGAUUGAGGUCUGCAACCCGACCUCAUGAACGUGGAAUUGGUAGUAAUCGCGGAUCAGCUAUGCCGCGGUGAAUACGUUCUUGCCUCUUGCACACACCGCCCGU
rnacentral:rRNA from 1 species